AUUGAACGCUGGCGGCAUGCCUUACACAUGCAAGUCGAACGGCAGCGGGGGAGAAGCUUGCUUUUCCUGCCGGCGAGUGGCGAACGGGUGAGUAAUACAUCGGAACGUGCACUGUAGUGGGGGAUAACUAGUCGAAAGAUUAGCUAAUACCGCAUACGACCUGAGGGUGGAAGUGGGGGACCGCAAGGCCUCAUGCUAUAGGAGCGGCCGAUGUCUGAUUAGCUAGUUGGUGGGGUAAAGGCCUACCAAGGCGACGAUCAGUAGCUGGUCUGAGAGGACGAUCAGCCACACUGGGACUGAGACACGGCCCAGACUCCUACGGGAGGCAGCAGUGGGGAAUUUUGGACAAUGGGCGAAAGCCUGAUCCAGCAAUGCCGCGUGUGUGAAGAAGGCCUUCGGGUUGUAAAGCACUUUUGUCCGGAAAGAAAUGGCUCUGGUUAAUACCUGGGGUCGAUGACGGUACCGGAAGAAUAAGGACCGGCUAACUACGUGCCAGCAGCCGCAGUAA
rnacentral:rRNA from 1 species